rnacentral:misc_RNA from 1 species
CAGAGUUGCAAGACUCCCAAACCAUUGUGAACAUACCCGUUACCGUUGCCUCGGCGGGCUGCCCCAGGGCGGGGCCGACUGCUCCCCCUCCAGGGGGGGUGCCCGCCGGAGGACCCAAAACUCUCCUGUAUUUUGGUGGCUCUUCUGAGUAAACAUAUCAAUAGUUA